CCUAAACACCACCCCCUCUCUCUUCAUCUUCUCCAAACCACCCACCAUAGUUGUCACCCUGCCGCCCAUCUCCAGCCCUUCAACCACUGCCCAAACAGCCCCACGACCAACGACCAUCUCCACCACGUCGUCCGUCACCUAGCCCCCACGCCACCAUCGUCGCCCACCCUAGCCCUCACAUAAAAUGCUCCAGCAUCGUCGACCACCCUAACCCCCACGUUCCACUAGCACUCUAUCGACCAUUGUUAUGUCAUAAACAACCCUUCAACUUUCACUGUCCAAACAGCCCCCACGCAACUCCAUCUCCAUCGACCAAACGAAUCAAUCUUUCAUGUCUGUCCAGCCCCCUCACAUCCAAAUGACCACCUGAAAAAACCAGUAGCAGCCAUGAGUCAUUUUCAGUCCAUUCGUGUUCGGGUUUCCGGCGCGAGCUAUUCUGUUUGAGCUUUGAUGACUGUGUCCAUGGGUUCCCUGUCGAG
rnacentral:lncRNA from 1 species